rnacentral:rRNA from 1 species
UACGUAGGGUGCGAGCGUUGUCCGGAAUCAUUGGGCGUAAAGCGCGCGUAGGUGGCUUCGUAAGUCCGUUGUGAAAGUCAAAGGCUCAACCUUUGAAUGCCGAUGGAUACUGCGGAGCUAGAGUACGGAAGAGGCGAGUGGAAUUCCUGGUGUAGCGGUGAAAUGCGCAGAUAUCGGGAGGAACACCGGUGGCGAAGGCGGUUCUCUGGGCCUUACCUGACGCUGAGGAGCGAAAGCGUGGGGAGCGAACAGG